CUACAGUUAGCUCAGUUGAUAGAGCAAAGGACUGUAGUUAUUACCAAAAUCAGUAUUCCUUGGGACACCUGUUCGACCCCGGUGCGGUAAA